AUUUGGCAUUGCUCACAUAGGCACAGGUUAAAUAUGGAGGAGGAAAUGGAGAAUAAGAAGAUUCUGUUAUAGAGAUCAUCUAAAGCAGAAGCACCUGACUUCUUUUGCCCAUUUACCUGCUACAUCCCAAGAGAGAAGGAAUUACUAAUAUGAUUAGUCAGAUGACACUCCAAGAGCCUGCCAGCAGGUCAUAUGCUUUCUGCUGCCAUAGCCUACCUGGCGUACCCUGGUCUGCUAGGAUUUGUCAGGUCGUGAAUCAGAGUGAAGCUGAAACAGGA